CUAGAAGCUGAGGACUUCUGUAUAGAUGCUGACCCUGAAGUACUCCUUGGACAGGACUACAAAAAGUGAUGUAGCAGUAGAACUGGAAGGUUCACCUGAAGCGGGGCUGGAGUAGAGUGUAGCCUUUCCAGUGAAUGUACACAUCCAUUUCUCCAGAGAAAGAAGCCACAAACAGAUAUAGAAGUGAUCAAAGAAGACAUUUGACUGGAAUUAGGUGGUGCUUUUGGGGACCUCGCUACCAGGUGAUGAGCUUUGCAAACCAAACAGAUUUGAUGCCAUCACUCCUAAUAAUCUCCAGUUAUGGCUGCUUUCUGAGCCUUGUAUGAACUUCAGGUGAGUACAGGUGAGCCCUUCCAUCUGAGCU